rnacentral:rRNA from 1 species
UAACGCGAAGAACCAGGCUACGCGAAGAACCUUACCAGGGUUUGACAUGGCGGUGGUAGGAAGGUGAAAGCCGACCGACCCUUCGGGGAGCCGUCACAGGUGCUGCAUGGCUGUCGUCAGCUCGUGCCGUGAGGUGUUAGGUUAAGUCCUGUAACGAGCGCAACCCUCGUCGUUAGUUAUACGUGUCUAACGAGACUGCCGGUGAUAAGCCGGAGGAAGGUGGGGAUGACGUCAAGUCAGCAUGGCCUUUAUAUCCUGGGCUACACACACGCUACAAUGGCCGGUACAAUGGGUUGCUAAGCCGCGAGGCGGAGCCAAUCCCCCAAAGCCGGUCUCAGUUCGGAUUGCAGGCUGCAACUCGCCUGCAUGAAGUCGGAGUUGCUAGUAACCGCGCGUCAGCAAUAGUGCGGUGAAUAGCAUUGUACACACCGA